GCCCCGGUAGCUCAGCUGGAUAGAGCAGUCGCCUUCUAAGCGACGGGUCACAGGUUCAAGUCCUGUCCGGGGUGCCA
rnacentral:tRNA from 1 species